rnacentral:rRNA from 1 species
UUACUAACGAUUCCGGCUUCAUGCUCUCGAGUUGCAGAGAACAAUCCGAACUGAGAACGGCUUAUUAAGAUUCGCUAACCCUUGCGGGGUCGCAACUCGUUGUACCGUCCAUUGUAGCACGUGUGUAGCCCAGCUCAUAAGGGGCAUGAUGAUUUGACGUCAUCCCCACCUUCCUCCGGUUUAUCACCGGCAGUCUCGCUAGAGUGCCCAACUGAAUGCUGGCAACUAACAAUAAGGGUUGCGCUCGUUAUGGGACUUAACCCAACAUCUCACGACACGAGCUGACGACAACCAUGCACCACCUGUCUAUCUGUCCCCGAAGGGAAAGCCCUAUCUCUAGGGUUGUCAGAUGAUGUCAAGAGCUGGUAAGGUUCUUCGCGUUGCUUCGAAUUAAACCACAUGCUCCGCUGCUUGUGCGGGUCCCCGUCAAUUCCUUUGAGUUUCAUACUUGCGUACGUACUCCCCAGGCGGAGUGCUUAAUGCGUUAGCUCCGGCACCGAGGUUUGACCCCCGACACCUAGCACUCAUCGUUUACGGCAUGGGACUACCAGGGUAUCUAAUCCUGUUUGCUCCCCAUGCUUUCGUUCCUCAGCGUCAGAAAAAGUCCAGAAAGUCGCCUUCCCCACUGGUAUUCCUCCUAAUAUCUACGCAUUUCACCGCUACACUAGGAAUUCCACUUUCCUCUCCUUACUCAAGUC